AUUCAGCUGACGAGUCCUAAAUAGGACGAAACGUGCAUCAAACUGGAU
rnacentral:hammerhead_ribozyme from 1 species